ACUGUCUUACACAGUUGUAAAAUCGCAACACACCUGUCCCUGUGCCCCCGUUUACGAGUUUCUUAUCAACAUGCUCGCUUUUUGUGUCAGUAUGCGACCACUGUACCGAGCAGAAUAGAACAGUGUGCACGAAAUUUGAUUUGAAUAUACAUAAGCAUUUGACAGUCAGCGCGCGGCAACAGAAGCAGAUUACGCUGCCCAGCUAGCUGUUCUGUUCCUUGCCUUUUUCAACCUACAAAAGCGAGCAUCACACACACUCUUACUCACCUGGUGAGCAAAUAGAGGGGAACACACAUGACUGAACGACGCACUGAAAGUGCGUGCAAUAAUGGUUGUGCAAGAAGAAGCAGCAACAAUCAGGCAAAAUACCUGAAAAAAUAAAGAAAACAUAAACGGUAAAACGAAGAAGUGGCUACAGCAAGCAGAGGCAGCAAUUCAAGGUAGCGCGCUAAAAGUUUAUUGUAAAACCCAAAGUAGAAGGCACAAAGUGAUUUUAAAAUUUCUGCUGCUGUCGAACAAACGUUAAACAACACAUAAAAACAUUAAAAAUAUAAAGAAAAAUAAAAAAUGGUGGAAGCAAUAGAGCGGCAGAGAACGGCUGCGUGAGCAGCGCGAGAUCGGAGCGCCAAUUAUAAAAUAACAGCAACAACUGCAACAACAACACACUUACAAUAGGAACAGCAACAAAACGGCAUAAGCAAAAUAAGAAGAGCAUAGAAUAGCAACGAAAGCAACCGAAACGAGCGCGCAACAGCCGUUGGAACCAGCAGAGGAGCCGCUCA